AGAGUUUGAUCAUGGCUCAGGAUGAACGCUAGCUACAGGCUUAACACAUGCAAGUCGAGGGGAAACGGACAUCGAAAGCUUGCUUUUGAUGGGCGUCGACCGGCGCACGGGUGAGUAACGCGUAUCCAACCUGCCCACCACUUGGGGAUAACCUUGCGAAAGUAAGACUAAUACCCAAAUGACGUCUCUAGAAGACAUCUGAAAGAGAUUAAAGAUUUAUCGGUGAUGGAUGGGGAUGCGUCUGAUUAGCUUGUUGGCGGGGUAACGGUCCACCAAGGCGACGAUCAGUAGGGGUUCUGAGAGGAAGGUCCCCCACAUUGGAACUGAGACACGGUCCAAAACUCCUACGGGAGGCA
rnacentral:rRNA from 1 species